UACGUAGGGUCCAAGCGUUAAUCGGAAUUACUGGGCGUAAAGCGUGCGCAGGCGGUUCGUUAAGUCAGCUGUGAAAGCCCCGGGCUCAACCUGGGAAUUGCGGUUGAAACUGGCGAACUAGAAUCUGGCAGAGGGGGGUGGAAUUCCACGUGUAGCAGUGAAAUGCGUAGAGAUGUGAAGGAACACCGAUGGCGAAGGCAGCCCCCUGGGCUGAGAUUGACGCUCAGGCACGAAAGCGUGGGGAGCAAACAGG
rnacentral:rRNA from 1 species